CUCCCGGGUGAGUUUAUUGGUGUUUAUUGGUAAACUGCAUGGGCAUGGGCAGGCUGGGGACACAUCAAGGGCCCAGUGUGGGCCUGGCCCUGGGGACACUGCAGGAGGACCCCGUUCCUGAGGGGCCUGGUGCCACCAGGCCUCGGGGCAGCGUGUCCCAGGGCCAGGCCUUGCACCGCAUGGCCUGACCCAACACGGGACUUGGGGGGGCUGCAUUACAGGGGAACACCUGGUGCCAGCCCCAGUGAUCGCAGGGGAGCUGCUGGGGUCAAUCCCCACACAGACAUAGCCACUCUCAACCAGUUCUCUGCCUCCACCUUGUCCCACCCUCAGGCCAAUCCCAGUCCUGCCCCCUUAGCACCCACGUCUAUUUCCUCCAAGAUGAGCUGAUUAUCUCUGUGGCCUCCUGGCUGAAACGUCAGUGGAGAACCCAGCUAUGCAGGGUCUGUGGCCAACUUCUUAGCAGGGGAGAUGCGGGCAAGGCUGGUGUUGCAGUUGGAAGGCUGUCUUCGUGGCCUGGGACAGCUCCUGCUGGAACAGAGCACUGGAGAUGUGUGGAUAUCAGCGAGGCACAUGCUGUAAUUGCCGGAGGAGCGGUGGGAGCUCUCAUGGGUAGGUGAAGCAAACACCAAGGUUCUGCAGCUGUGAGCAGUUGUUUUCCAGUGACACUGAGGCAACCAUUCUGCAUACUGGACAUAUCAGCAUCACUAAUUUCGAAGAGACUGAAGAUUUUGCCUACGCUUAGCCACAGCUGCCCUUUCAUCCUGAGACGUUCUUUCCCUUUGGUUGCAGAUGUAGGCAGCUCAGCUGUCUUUCCACCAGCAUUAGGACAGGAGGAAAAUUAAGCUGUGAACUGGAAUUCCAUCAGGCUGUCUACUGUGAAGCCCUGUGGCUUUAGCAAAGGGGCAGCAGUGGUCAGAAAUGACACUCAAAAGAAAAUGACAUGGAAUUCACAGUGGACUUCCUACUCCUGUGAAAGAAAGGGAGAAGAUGCUUUUGCUUCACACUAUCUUCGCAUCUAAGGAGGUUGCUGCUGUUCAGCACUUCUGCAACUUAGACACACACAGAAACGGGAACCCUUUGCAGCCAGUAGUGGAACAUGAGUGUGGACCCUUCAGGCUUUGUCUGAUUUCUUCCUGUUUCUCCAACGUGUUGCUAAAUCGUGGCAAUGGAAGAGCUCAUCUCCAGGCUGCCGAACGCAUGCUGCCUUCCAGGUAAAUGUGUGACUAUCAUAGUAAUAGAAGGAUCCUUGAAGUGUUUUCCUUCACAUGCAUAGAAGGCCCUCAAGUACAAGGCACCAAAGAACCACACCCAAGAAGAUCUAAGGUCCUCAGGCUUCCACAACAUGAAUCUGUUUCAUCUGGGUCAGCAAGAUCUCAGUCAGCUUCAUUAGCUUCAGAAAUUUGUGCUCAGAGCUGUUGGGAGAAGAUGGGUCUAUGAAAGAACAACAGAAGAUGAGCGAAGCCUCCGGAGCUGCAGCCCCUCACGUGUUUCCAGAGCCCCAGCUCCUGUGCUGUGGCUCGUCCAUCACCGCCCCGCUGUUGCACUGAUCCACACCCCCAGCCCACCUGACGCCUCUUCUGCAGCCCAGGAGCUCCUUCCCCACCACACAUCCACCUCCUCCUGGCCUCGGCAGCCCAGUUUAAAAUCUUAAUCCCUGAAUAAUGCCACCGCCUGCCUCCCAGCUUUCUUUGGAGACCUUCCAGCUCUGGCCAGCCCUGACCCUAUUUGACUUAAGCAGUUGUGCCUGCUGGGAAUGGAGUCUGCCUCACGCCAGUGCCACGACUCCUGAGAGGCCAAGUCAUCGGCACGUGGAGCCCUCACUGCAAAUCCCCAUGCCUGUCCAUCUGUAAUGCUGGUCUUAAGACACAUUCAGAUGCUUUUUGACCUCAAGACUAAGCCAUGUUACAUGUGUGAAAGGCCUAGCAUCUCUGCUCUGAUCCGCAGCACCGCUCCUGUGUACUGACUGUUUUUAUUUCAUGAUCCAUGCUGAACUCCCCGGAGCCCAGGCCUGGGCGCUGACACGGAGACAGCCCGCCCGAGCACCGGGAUCGCUGCUGCCGGGCGGCCGCAGUGCCUGUGGAUGCCCUCUCAGGACAGGCCUUGGAGGAGCGGCUCUCACCAUUUCAUUUCGUUGGCCAUGUGCUUCCAAUGCAGAAGCUGUGUUGCCUGCUGCACCUCCUUUUAAAUCCCAGGAUGACUUUUUUUUGGGGAGAACAUGUAGGAAGAAAGAAGUUUUACCUCCCCGCCAGUGGAGGGAUGAGUCUAGACUUUAACAACAUGAAUGGGAAACAUGACCCAAGCAAACGCCAUAUUGCUCACUAGAGGAGGAGACUUGGAUUUAGAGGGAUUAUAUCAACUGGCAAAGAAUCCGUGCAGUAUUGAGAAAGUGAAGUUGAGGGUUGCAAAAGAGUGAAGCAGUGCAGGAUAUCCAAAUCCUCUUGGCUUCUGACCGCAGCAGACAACGGUUCUCCUAGACCUCAUUGAAAGCUGUGCCUGAAAAGACUAUGAGGUAGUUUGCCCAGUGAUGACAAGGGCAGUGGCAACACAGUCCCUGUGAGAACCACAUCCUAUAGGGCUCACAGCGUGGGCUUUGGAUCAUGUACUGGGAGCUGCUCCUCUGCAGGUGCAGCCGUCUCAAAGCUCCUGUACCUUGCAGCCAGAUGGAGGUGCCUUUGGUUGCUUGUUUGUGGCCUGCUUGGUUUCAACUUCACCAUGGCCACAUAUAAUCGUGCAAACUUCCAGUUACCUGUGAGGUUAUGUAGAUCCAGAAUUAAAAGCCAGGUUUACAACUACAGCGUGAAUAUUGUAAAUUGCUUACACAGAAGGUCCUGUGAGGGUGAGGGAUGAAGGUCCUCUGUCACCGCCUAUGAUCCAUUGGCUGGGGAAGAGCAGCAACAAAACCAGAGUCUCAUUUCUUCUUUUCGCUAUUAAAGUGCUGUUCAAAUUCUGACCUUGAUGGCAAAUCUUCAAGGCAGAUAAUUGCUCGGUUGUUGGUAGUAUGGGUGGCUUUUUUCCCGACAGAGAGGAACAGAAGAACUCCUGCGUGAUGUCCCGGGGAGGGGGCACUGAGUCACUGAGUUUUUCAGAGAAAGUGGCCAUGAGAUGCGGGCUCCUGACCAGGCACUUGAGUCCUUUGCAGAGUCUUUCUGCACCAGCCAUUCAGGCCUCGCUAAUGUUAUGCACCAGGACUCACACAAGGUUUGUUCAAGAACAUGAAAGCAAAAUGGCCAGCUGGAAUCCUACUUGCCUUGUGGAAUACAGUAAAGCACAUGGAAACACAAUACUGCUGCUUGUAUUGCAAUUUCUGCUUUCAGCCCUUUUCAGAGCAGCAAGAGUGAGUUACAUGAAGUCCCACUAUGGCUGAAUUCUGUUUUUGUUAAACUGUGGUGUCAAUCAAGUUGGCUAAACUGACCUGUUUUUUUUUUUUUUUUCCCCUGUAAAGGUCCUUUGCAAAUACAGUCUUAUAAAUCUAGGGAGCUAUAAAAAGGAAACUUGUGAACAUCCUGGUUUUGGCCACCUUUCUGCAUUACCUACCUUUACAGACCUGUGCUGGUUAUGAGGAUGGGUUGAUCCGGGACGCUGUGGGAAUGCAGCACCCAGUUAAGGUCUCAUUUCCCUCUUUUGCAUUCCUCUUCUGCCUGCAUUUAAGGAUGAGAGGUGCCUGGAAAUAUCAAAUACUUCAGUGAGCAGAUCUUUUACUCCUAGCAAGCAAUUUGUUCCCCACCCCCUGGUCACUGCUGCCUUCGAAGAGUAAUGAGGGCUGGGUCAACACAGCCUUUUUACAGGCAUUUUCUUUCUUUGGGGAUCCAUGGCUCACCCAAAAGAAAAUUAAAUUGCUUCCUAAAGGACGGGGUUAUUUAUUUCCUUGAAGUAAAUCAAGCCAUGCUGCCAAACAAUCAUUACCAACCCAUUAAUAGGUUAAUCAUUAUAACUGCAGCAGUGUCAUGGCACCUUGCUCUCAGUAGCGCUGCCAACAUCCUUUGUCAAGUCGCGGGUUUGCAGUGGUGUUCAUUACGUUCCCACAACGGGUGAAAUGUUUUCAUUUCAGUCACAAGUGCAUUACUUGGAUCAAACAGAAAUGUUGCUGCUUCCCUGAACCUUCCCUGAACUCCAAUAAUCAAACUCUUGGCUGCUUUUGCUGUGACCUGGCUACUGCUGCACCAAAUGCAGCCCCUCGUCCUGCUGAGUUUUAUAGUUUUAGGAACAGGCAACUAUGACAAAUGAACUUCCUUUCAUCUCAGCAAAGGGCACGGCCCUAGAUCCAUAUAAAAUGGAAAGUGUGGAAGAGCUUCCUAAUGCUGAAAUGUAUCUGAAUUCCCCGAUGCACAUUUCAGAUUGAGGAGGAGAUGUCUGGCUUAGCAUAUAUUCCUAUAUUCCUGAGGUAUCUGAAGAUAGUCGGCGUUUAAUUGCUCUGUUUUAUUUAGAAACAUAAUUAAUCAGGAGUUACACCCUUCGUAAUACAAUAUUAUCUUAUCUACUUCACACCAGUUGAUUAAGCCAUGGCAGUUGUAAAACAGUAAACAGCUUAUUAAUACCAAAACCUAUAAAAGGGAUAUCGGGGUAAGUGUGCUCCUGCGUCAGCUUUGAGCCUCAGACCCCGAGAAGUUCACGGCGCCGUGACACUGCAGUAAAACACUGCACCACCACAACUUUUCAACCAUAUCUAAAAGGCCAAUUUAGGUUUAUUCCCAUUCACAGCUUAUGGCCAUGGUUCAGCAGGUGUAAACUAGUAAUAGCUCCAGUCCAGGGCUGGAAGCCUGCCAGUAACAGAUGUGUUCAGUCAAAUGACUAAUUGAAAACCUUAAACAAAAUCAGCAGCUUGGCUAUUUUGCCUGCAUAAUAAAGCAGUGCUGAUAAAGGCAGUGGAAAAACACCCCUCUCAUCAUCAAUGCCAUUAACAAUCAUGAGUAAAGAUGAAAACAACGCAUGGUUUAUUCUGCAAAUGAAGGCAUAUAACUAGAUGACGUCCCAGGAGUCCAUUACCAAUUUUAAUAAUACAUCAAGGAGCCUGAGCAAACAGUUUGUAUGUGAAAGCCAAACACAGCAAACUACUUACAGUUACCGCAUAGAGAGACAACUCCCAGUGCUAUGAAUUUAACAAAUUUAUAAAGGUACAUAACAUGAUAGCUAUUAGCUAAAUUAAAAGAAAGCCAUUAUAGACUGCAGACUUGCACCACUUGCCAGCUAAACACCAUGAAGUACAAACUUUUGAUUCAAAUGAAUUUCCUUUUACAAGAGAACUGCCUGAGUUGGAGUCAAAUUAUGUGCAUGAAUAAUAAAAUACCAUCUAAUUAAAAACUGUAGUUAAAUAUGCAAAAACUAAUGAUAAUGAGAUUGUGCAAUACCUCAGAGUAUAGCACUUUAUAAAUUACUCAGAAGUGCUAGUUGGCUUGACCUAAACAGCAGAUAAUGGAAGCUGCUUUGGAAGUUCUUAGCUGCAGCUUCCCAGGGUGCCCUGCUUUCUGUGCCCAAGCACACAGCUAAUCCUUGCCGCUGCAAGGUGAGAUGGCAGCCACUUUUGUGCUCGGAGGUAACUCCUGCUUUGGUGGGACCGCAGGUGGGUCUGGGGAGCAGGCAGGGAGCGGAGCCUGCACUCUGGAGGUCCCGGGCUCUGCUUUGCUUUUGCUGCCCCGUGACACCCGCAUGGAAACCAGCCCACAAGUAGGUGGAUAGGCAGAAGGUAGAAUUUCAUGCCAAGUCCACGUGGAGACAAAAGCCCCAGCUGAGGUGCAGCUUGUGGCAGUGGUUUUCAAAGGGACCUGGGGUUUAGGUACCCCCAUCUUGCACAAGUUCACUAGGAGUGGGCACGUAACACCUUUGGUGACUUGGUUUGACAAUCUGAGCAUCAACGCCUCCAG